rnacentral:rRNA from 1 species
UACGGGGGGGGCGAGCGUUGUUCGGAAUUACUGGGCGUAAAGGGCGCGUAGGCGGUUCGCUAAGUUGGAUGUGAAAACUCUGGGCUCAACCCAGAGCCUGCAUCCAAAACUGGCGGGCUAGAGUUCUGGAGGGGGCAGCGGAAUUCCUGGUGUAGCGGUGAAAUGCGUAGAUAUCAGGAGGAACACCGGUGGCGAAGGCGGCUACCUGGACAGAAACUGACGCUGAGGCGCGAAAGCUAGGGGAGCAAACAGG